rnacentral:lncRNA from 1 species
GCAUAUAUAAGAAAAUAUAAAAAAAAAACUGUGGUUUUGAUAUACGAUUUGAACUAAUCUAAUCGCAUAGAGACGUAUAUCUAGCGAGUGAUUCUGAUUUUGUUGAGAAAGAUUGAAGACAGAAUGAACGAAACACAAGUAGAAAAGGAGGAAGAGGAAAAAAAAAAUCCAAGAUGGAUGUGGAAUAAAAAACUAUGAAAUAUCUAAAUAUACUUGCAUGGUGUUGUUAAAGGAAGCUAG